GACGAACGCUGGCGGCGUGCCUAAUACAUGCAAGUCGAACGCAGUGGGGACGGGUGAGUAACACGUGGGUAACCUCCCCUCAGAGGGGAUAACCCUUGGAAACAGGUGCUAAACCGAUACUGAUGGAGGGCCCCGCGGUUCAUUAGCUAGUUGGUGAGGUAACGGCUCACCAAGGCCACGCUGCAUAGCCGCCGGGAGAGGGUGUUGGGCACAACGGGGACUGGAACACGGCCAAGACUCCUACGUGAGGAAGAAGUGGGGAAUCUUCGGCAAUGGACGAAAGUCUGACCGAGAACGGCCGCGGAGUGGAAGAAGGUUUUCGGAGCGUAAAACUCUGUUGUUAGAGAAGCGGUAUCUAACCAGAAAGCCACGGCUAACUACGUGCCAGCAGCCGCGGUAAUUC
rnacentral:rRNA from 1 species